GCGGGCGUGGCGGAAUUGGUAGACGCGCCGGCCUUAGGAGCCGGUGGCCCUGAGCCGUGGGGGUUCGAGUCCCUCCGCCCGCA
rnacentral:tRNA from 2 species